rnacentral:rRNA from 1 species
UGAUGGCCAGGCUGUCUCCACCCGAGACUCAGUGAAAUUGAACUCGCUGUGAAGAUGCAGUGUACCCGCGGCAAGACGGAAAGACCCCGUGAACCUUUACUAUAGCUUGACACUGAACAUUGAGCCUUGAUGUGUAGGAUAGGUGGGAGGCUUUGAAGUGUGGACGCCAGUCUGCAUGGAGCCGACCUUGAAAUACCACCCUUUAAUGUUUGAUGUUCUAACGUUGACCCGUAAUCCGGGUUGCGGACAGUGUCUGGUGGGUAGUUUGACUGGGGCGGUCUCCUCCUAAAGAGUAACGGAGGAGCACGAAGGUUGGCUAAUCCUGGUCGGACAUCAGGAGGUUAGUGCAAUGGCAUAAGCCAGCUUGACUGCGAGCGUGACGGCGCGAGCAGGUGCGAAAGCAGGUCAUAGUGAUCCGGUGGUUCUGAAUGGAAGGGCCAUCGCUCAACGGAUAAAAGGUACUCCGGGGAUAACAGGCUGAUACCGCCCAAGAGUUCAUAUCGACGGCGGUGUUUGGCACCUCGAUGUCGGCUCAUCACAUCCUGGGGCUGAAGUAGGUCCCAAGGGUAUGGCUGUUCGCCAUUUAAAGUGGUACGCGAGCUGGGUUUAGAACGUCGUGAGACAGUUCGGUCCCUAUCUGCCGUGGGCGCUGGAGAACUGAGGGGGGCUGCUCCUAGUACGAGAGGACCGGAGUGGACGCAUCACUGGUGUUCGGGUUGUCAUGCCAAUGGCACUGCCCGGUAGCUAAAUGCGGAAGAGAUAAGUGCUGAAAGCAUCUAAGCACGAAACUUGCCCCGAGAUGAGUUCUCCCUGACUCCUUGAGAGUCCUGAAGGAACGUUGAAGACGACGACGUUGAUAGGCCGGGUGUGUAAGCGCAGCGAUGCGUUGAGCUAACCGGUACUAAUGAACCGUGAGG